rnacentral:rRNA from 1 species
GACGAACGCUGGCGGCGUGCCUAAUACAUGCAAGUCGAACGCAGUGGGGACGGGUGAGUAACACGUGGGUAACCUCCCAUCAGAGGAGAUAACACUUGGAAACAGGUGCUAAACCGAUAUUGAAGGAUGGACCCGUGGUGCAUUAGCUAGUUGGUGAGGUAACGGCUCACCAAGGCAACGAUGACUAGCUGGCCUGAGAGGAUGAUCGGCCACACUGGGACUGAGACACGGCCCAGACUCCUACGGGAGGCAGCAGUGGGGAAUCGUCGGCAAUGGACGAAAGUCUGAUCGAGCAACGCCGCGUGAGUGAAGAAGGUUUUCGGAUCGUAAAGCUCUUUUGUUAGAGAAGCGGUAUCUAACCAGAAAGCCACGGCUAACUACGUGCCAGCAGCCGCGGUAAUAC